rnacentral:rRNA from 1 species
GAUGAACGCUGGCGGCGUGCCUAAUACAUGCAAGUCGAGCGAACAGACGAGGAGCUUGCUCCUCUGACGUUAGCGGCGGACGGGUGAGUAACACGUGGAUAACCUACCUAUAAGACUGGGAUAACUUCGGGAAACCGGAGCUAAUACCGGAUAAUAUAUUGAACCGCAUGGUUCAAUAGUGAAAGACGGUUUUGCUGUCACUUAUAGAUGGAUCCGCGCCGCAUUAGCUAGUUGGUAAGGUAACGGCUUACCAAGGCAACGAUGCGUAGCCGACCUGAGAGGGUGAUCGGCCAAACUGGAACUGAGACACGGUCCAGACUCCUACGGGAGGCAGCAGUAGGGAAUCUUCCGCAAUGGGCGAAAGCUUGACGGAGCAACGCCGCGUGAGUGAUGAAGGUCUUCGGAUCGUAAAACUCUGUUAUUAGGGAAGAACAAAUGAGUAAGUAACUAUGCACGUCUUGACGGUACCUAAUCAGAAAGCCACGGCUAACUACGU